rnacentral:rRNA from 1 species
UAGUUAUUCUUUAUUAUGUGUUAAAAUUAAUUAUGUUUUUGAAACAUCAAUUUGAUUAGUAAUUGCGAUUAAAAGUUAUUUUAUCAAGGCUUAUAGUACCGUAAGGGAAAAAGAAUUUCUUAGCUAUUAGUAGUUAUAAUGAGCGUACUUUUUGCAUCACGACCUAGCAAGUAAAAAGUAAAAACUUACUCUCUCGAAAAUCUGUGAGCUAUUUUAUCUUUGUUUUUUAGAACAACCACUCUAGAUGUUGCAGAAUUUAAAUGAAAAGAUAAGAUAGAGAUGAUAUUUCUUUCGCACUGAUGAUAGCUAGUUUUCUUAAAAAUGUGUAAAAGCACACAAUGAAUGCUAAAGUUAAAGCUGAUAUUACUAAUUACAGUCAUCAGUUAAUUUAGAUUCUGUUGGACUUUUUUGAGGAUAAGCUCGAAAAUUGCCGUUGAGAACUGUAUAAUUAAAAAUUAUUAUGUGGGCCUAAAAUUAGCCAUCACAAAAGUUUGUUAUAAAAUAGUAAAAACACAUGAAAAUAUUUCUAUACACGAUACCACGCUAAGCUAUAAGAAUAAUAAUUUAAACCAAUAAAUUAAUAUACCCAUGCUAGGAUGAGUAUUAAAAUUGCUAUAAGAAAAAUUAAAGAUUUUCUUAGAAAUUGUUUCUAAUGCUAAUUAAAGAUAAGGAACUCGGCAAAUGUUGUUCCGCCUGUUUAUCAAAAACAUGGCUCUUUGAAAAAAGCAUAUAAAGAGUCGAACCUGCCCAGUGAAGUUUUAAACGGCCGCGGUACCCUGACCGUGCAAAGGUAGCAUAAUCACUUGCCUUAUAAUUGAAGGCUGGCAUGAAUGGUCUGACGAGAGCUACACUGUCUCCUCUUUAUUAUCUAGAAAUUAACCUAUAGGUGAAGAGGCCUAUAUUAUAUUGAAGGACAAGAAGACCCUGUCGAGCUUAAAAGUAAAGUAAGAAUUAGCUAUAGAAGGAAAUCAAUAAAUUACAUAACUUUUUAGUUGGGGCGACUAAGGAACAAAUAAAGCUUCUUUUAUUUUUAUAGAUUAACAGAUCUUGAUCCAGCUAACGCUGAUUAGAGGAAUUAGUUACCGCAGGGAUAACAGCAUAAUCUCCUUUGAGAGACCUAAUCGAAAGGGGGGGUUGUGACCUCGAUGUUGGACUAGAAUAUCCUGAAGAUGCAGACGUCUUCAAAGGUUGGUCUGUU